GGCUCAGAGGAGCCGAGACCCCGCCGGCCCUGGGAGAGAAAUGCCCACGGGUUUGAAUGGAAUCAGCAAGGCCGGGCUGGCAGCGCGUCCAUGGCGUUUAUUGUUCCAGCACAAGGGCGCUUUGGGGACAAGAGUUCCACGGAGGCCUCUGAGGAGAGAUUAGAUCGGUUCCCUGCUCUGCUCCCAGAUAAAACUGCCCAUGGCGGCCGAGGCAGCGGCGCCGCCGCCUUUGUGUGCUCCGGCCCCUGCAGCAGGAAAAGCGAGCCCACAGCUGGCAAAAAGGGACAUUGUCCCUGUGGGUGACAGCCAGGCCGCAGCUCUGGGGUGGCACUGAGUGGCUAUGGCUCAGCCACAACAGGGGGGACAGCACCGGUGACAUCUGAACCUUUCGGGAAUGCUUUCCUGGGAGAGGAGACGGGAGCUGCUGGAGAAUGCUGCUCUGAAGGCUCAGGGGGACAUUGGAUGGAGUAUCAGAUGGGAGUGUUCAGGAAACUCAAGGUUUGUUAACUUUAGAGCAGCCAAGAGGGUGAUGGAGCUGGGUAGCUCCCACUCAGUACAUCAGAACAUUUUCCUUGCCCUGGCUCACUAACAAGCCAGUUAUAAACUUAAAUCAUUCCAGCCAUUUCUUUUCUGUAGAACACGCACAUCACUGACCUCCUUCAUCAACAUCCAUCACAAAACCCACUUGAGAGCUGAUUUUUGCCUUUGCCCCCCAAAUGACCCUGUAUUAGCAGAUGCUGAUGGAGUAAAAGCACACAUCAUCUGGGACACACCAGCCCCACAGCACCAGCUGAGCUCCAAGCCCCUGCAGGGACCACAGAGGCAGAAGGACAGGAGAGCAAUUACAGCCCAGUCAUGUUCACAGGGCACCCCAUGAAUGCAUCAAGGCCAGGGCUCCUCACAAACCCAUCUCCAGCUCAAAGCCACCACACUUCCCUGGAUGCACCGGGGAGAAGAACCGCAGAGAGCUUGGAUGUCUGCAGAACAAAAGCCCUACACAAAGAAUUCCUGCCCGACUCGAAUGGCAGCCCGGGGUGCUGAUACAGUCUCAAACGCAGUAAUUAUUGCUGGCUUUGAAGCCUAACUUGUGCAGAGUGCACUUUCCACACCUAUUUCACCCAAACGACACCACUUACCUCAUCCCCUGCGUACCUGCUCCUCCAGAGCCCUUUGUAGUCCUGCCAGGGCCGCUCAUUACUGCUCUCAAACGCUGCUGCUGCUUCUGGAGCAGGAGACAGCAACUUUAUGCAGGGGAAAAUGCGAAAUUAAAAAAGGCUGCCCUGAAUUACA